rnacentral:rRNA from 1 species
AGUGAAGCGGCAAGAGCUCAAAUUUGAAAGCUGGCCCCUUCGGGGUCCGCGUUGUAAUUUGCAGAGGAUGCUUCGGGUGCAGCCCCCGUCUAAGUGCCCUGGAACGGGCCGUCAUAGAGGGUGAGAAUCCCGUCUGGGACGGGGUGUCUGCGUCCGUGUGAAGCUCCUUCGACGAGUCGAGUUGUUUGGGAAUGCAGCUCUAAAUGGGUGGUAAAUUUCAUCUAAAGCUAAAUACUGGCCGGAGACCGAUAGCGCACAAGUAGAGUGAUCGAAAGAUGAAAAGCACUUUGAAAAGAGAGUUAAACAGCACGUGAAAUUGUUGAAAGGGAAGCGUUUGCGACCAGACUCGCCCGCGGGGUUCAGCCGGCACUCGUGCCGGUGUACUUCCCCGUGGGCGGGCCAGCGUCGGUUUGGGCGGCCGGUCAAAGGCCCUCGGAAUGUAUCACCUCUCGGGGUGUCUUAUAGCCGAGGGUGCAAUGCGGCCUGUCCGGACCGAGGAACGCGCUUCGGCUCGGACGCUGGCGUAAUGGUCGUAAAUGACCCGUCUUGAAACACGGACCAAGGAGUCUAACAUCUACGCGAGUGUUCGGGUGUCAAACCCGUACGCGCAGUGAAAGCGAACGGAGGUGGGAGCCCCUCGGGGCGCACCAUCGACCGAUCCUGAUGUCUUCGGAUGGAUUUGAGUACGAGCGUAGCUGUGGGGACCCGAAAGAUGGUGAACUAUGCCUGAAUAGGGCGAAGCCAGAGGAAACUCUGGUGGAGGCUCGCAGCGGUUCUGACGUGCAAAUCGAUCGUCA